CCUUAUCCUUGGUAGUUUUGCAGUUAAUAAAUUAGAAGAAGAUGGUUCGGGAAACAGAUAGGUAUAAGGCCCCGAGCAAGGUUCCCUACACAAAGGAGCAGAUAAGGGACGUCUUCAAACGUCAUGAGACGAAUGGAGAUGGUCAACUUUCCAAAGAAGAGCUGGCCGCAGCCUUUGACGAACUUGGCGCGAAAUGGCCUCCUUUUAGAGCUUGGUUUGCUCGACAGUAUGCAGAUGACAACGGCGAUGGCUUCAUUUCUAUAGACAAUGAGCUCAGCAAGCUCGUCGAGUAUACCCUAGAAUUGAACUAUAAACUUCAUUAAGUAUAGUAUUAAUUAGUGGGUAACUAGUUCUUGUAUCUACUUGCUAUAGAUAUAUUCUCAGCAAGCUCAUUGACUAUACCUCAAUUGAAGCUCUCUAUGUAUGUAAUCGUAGUGAUGGAGCUAGACUUAGUAUCUUAGUGGCCACAUCCACUUCAAGUUUGAAGCUCUCUAUGUAUGUAAUCGUAGUGAUGGAGCUAGACUUAGUAUCUUAGUGGCCACAUCCACUUCAAGUUUGUAUGCAACUCCGUCCGUGUGUAAGCGUCUUUAAUUACUUGUAAGCAGCCGUAGUACCUAUAUAUGUGUGCAAGGUUGAGGGAACGCAAGAGGUGACCUUUUGUUUCCCUCGUUACUAGGGAAGAUGAAUUUGAACCCUGUAUGUAUAAUAUAUAGUGAUUAACAAGAAUAAA
rnacentral:lncRNA from 1 species